rnacentral:lncRNA from 1 species
AGGUUUAAAAAAUACAAGAAGAAUAUAAUAGAUUGUAAGAAAACCUCCAAAAAUUGAACUAAUGUAACUCCGCUGCCAACUUGAAAAGUGAAGCAGAAAUUCCAGCAAUGAUUUUUCCCUAUUUAAUUGUUUACUUUGUCUCAAAAUUGGUAUGUAGCUUGGUCUUCAAGUCCUUUGAUACCAUGCUAAUUUUCACUUUAAUCCAACUAAUAGAUCUUUAGAUAUAAUAAAAAUCCUACUCAACUUCAAAUUGCCACUUACCGAAAUCCACUUGUUCUAAAAACUAGAUAUCUCUAAACUACACCAACAGAUUAUUACAAAAUUUUCUAUACACUUAGAAAACCUAAAAAUCCAAACAGAAUCAAAUUUUAAACUAUAGAUGUCACACCAAUUGCACAAACUAGCUAACAUUACUAGCCCUAAUUAUAUUAUAUAAAACCCAAAUAACUUAUAUAAACCUUGACUUUGAACAAUAAUUGCUAAGUCUUCCAAAACCUUCUCAAAUUAAUUCUUAGGUCAUAAAAAAGAACUUCAAGCUAGCUCUCAAACCCAAUUCUUUGAUCUUUGAAUGCCUCCCUAUUUUAUCCUAGGCCGUCAUUUUAGUGGCCAGAGCUCUCAUUUCGACCCUGUCACAAAAAUGGUCGACCCUCAGGUAUCAAUCUAACUUACCCUAAGGACUUUUUAGCCCAAUCCUACUAUCAAUUUAUCCCUAGUAUUAACCAUACAAACCAUAUACUUCUAUUAUUCUGAUUUUAUCAAUUUAUGGUAUUUCUAAGGUAGUAAAAGAGUCUCUACAAACUAAAAGCUAAAAUUACUAAUUAACCUUCAACCUAACUAUUAAGAUAUGAAAAUAACCUAAGAAGAUUUUAUAAAAGCAUAUUUAGAUACCUCAAAUUAUAAUUGAACUAAGAUAAUUAGAUAUUAAUUAGAAAUUUAAUUUUAAUUAUAAUUUUACUAUAUAGUCGUA